rnacentral:rRNA from 1 species
AACGAACGCUGGCGGCAUGCCUAACACAUGCAAGUCGAACGAGACCUUCGGGUCUAGUGGCGCACGGGUGCGUAACGCGUGGGAACCUGCCCUUAGGUUCGGAAUAACUCCCCGAAAGGGGUGCUAAUACCGGAUAAUGUCUUCGGACCAAAGAUUUAUCGCCUUUGGAUGGGCCCGCGUUGGAUUAGCUAGUUGGUAGGGUAAAAGCCUACCAAGGCGACGAUCCAUAGCUGGUCUGAGAGGAUGAUCAGCCACACUGGGACUGAGACACGGCCCAGACUCCUACGGGAGGCAGCAGUGGGGAAUAGUGGACAAUGGGCGAAAGCCUGAUCCAGCAAUGCCGCGUGAGUGAUGAAGGCCUUAGGGUUGUAAAGCUCUUUUACCCGGGAUGAUAAUGACGGUACCGGGAGAAUAAGCUCCGGCUAACUCCGUG